GGAUGGUUUGGUCAGCUGGUCAGAGCGUGGUGCUAAUAACGCAGAGGUCAUGGGUUCAAUUCCCAUACUUGCUA
rnacentral:tRNA from 1 species